rnacentral:rRNA from 1 species
UCAAGCGACUAAGUGUAUGUGGUGGAUGCCUUGGCGAUCACAGGCGAUGAAGGACGUGAAAGCCUGCGAAAAGCUGUGGGGAGCUGGCAAAUAAGCUUUGAUCCACAGAUCUCCGAAUGAGGGAACUCACUUGGCUUCUGCCAAGUAUCCAUGUCUGAAUACAUAGGGCAUGGAGGCGAACGCGGUGAACUGAAACAUCUAAGUAACCGCAGGAAAAGAAAUCAACCGAGAUUCCGAAAGUAGCGGCGAGCGAAAUCGGACGAGCCUAGUGCUUGAUAAUGCUGCCGACAGCAGAACGGUCUGGAAAGUCCGGCUACAGAGGGUGAUAGCCCCGUAUGCGAAGUCCGCGGCAUGGUACUAAGAGCACGAUAAGUAGGGCGGGACACGUGACAUCCUGUCUGAAGAUGGGGGGACCAUCCUCCAAGGCUAAAUACUCGUGAUCGACCGAUAGUGAACCAGUACUGUGAAGGAAAGGCGAAAAGAACCCCGGGAGGGGAGUGAAAUAGAUCCUGAAACCGCAUACAUACAAACAGUAGGAGCCUCUUUAAGGGGUGACUGCGUACCUUUUGCAUAAUGGGUCAGCGACUUACGUUCAAUGGCGAGCUUAACCGUAUAGGGGAGGCGCAGCGAAAGCGAGUUCGAACAGAGCGAUUUCAGUCGUUGGGCGUAGACCCGAAACCAGAUGAUCUAUCCAUGGUCAGGUUGAAGGUGUGGUAACACACACUGGAGGACCGAACCGACUAGUGUUGCAAAAUUAGCGGAUGAACUGUGGAUAGGGGUGAAAGGCUAAACAAAUCUGGAGAUAGCUGGUUCUCCCCGAAAACUAUUGAGGUAGUGCCUCGUGUAUGGCUCCAGGGGGUAGAGCACUGUUAUGGCUAGGGGGACAUGGCGUCUUACCAAACCAUGGCAAACUCCGAAUACUUGGAAGUCGAAGCACGGGAGACAGAGCACCGGGUGCUAACGUCCGGACUCAAAAGGGAAACAACCCAGACCGCCGGCUAAGGUCCCUAAUAUGAACUGAGUGGAAAACGAAGUGGGAAGGCUAAGACAGUCAGGAAGUUGGCUUAGAAGCAGCCAUCCUUCAAAGAAAGCGUAAUAGCUCACUGAUCGAGUCUUCCUGCGCGGAAGAUGUAACGGGGCUAAGUUCAUAACCGAAGCCGCGGAUUCACACGCAAGUGUGAGUGGUAGGGGAGCGUUCUGUAAGCCUGCGAAGGUGACUCGCAAGGGUUGCUGGAGGUAUCAGAAGUGCGAAUGCUGACAUGAGUAACGUUAAAGCGGGUGAAAAGCCCGCUCGCCGUAAGCCCAAGGUUUCCUGCUCUACGUUCAUCGGAGCAGGGUGAGUCGGCCCCUAAGGCGAGGCUGAGAAGCGUAGCUGAUGGGAACAAGGUUAAUAUUCCUUGACCGCCGUCGAGUGCGAAGGGGGGACGGAGUGUUGAAGAUCAUCCGGGUGUUGGAUGUCCCGGUUUCCGCGCGUAGGAGGUCUGCAGGCAAAUCCGCAGACGAAUCUCCGAGGCAAAGGAUCGAGUCCCAUUGGGGACGAAGUGAUUGGAUGGACUUCCAGGAAAAGCCUCUAAGCUCCAGCUCAACGGGACCGUACCGCAAACCGACACUGGUGGGCGAGCUGAAUAUGCUCAGGCGCUUGAGAGAACUCAGGAGAAGGAACUCGGCAAAUUGACCCCGUAACUUCGGGAUAAGGUGUGCCUUGGUAGCGUGGAGGGAGAAACACCCCGAGCGUGAAGAGGUCUCAGAGAAUCGGUGGCUGCGACUGUUUACUAAAAACACAGCACUCUGCAAAGACGAAAGUCGACGUAUAGGGUGUGAUGCCUGCCCGGUGCUGGAAGAUUAAUUGAUGGGGUGCAAGCUCCUGAUCGAAGUCCCAGUAAACGGCGGCCGUAACUAUAACGGUCCUAAGGUAGCGAAAUUCCUUGUC